GUCUGAAGUGGUCAGUAUCUAUUAAAAGUGGUCCAAGAUUUGCAAGAAGCAGAGAGGAAGUGAAGCAAGAAGCAGAAGCAAAAGUGGGAGACGGAGAAGUGAUUCUUACAAACACAGAAA